UACGGAGGGUGCAAGCGUUAAUCGGAAUUACUGGGCGUAAAGCGUGCGCAGGCGGUUUGUUAAGUCUGUUGUGAAAGCCCCGAGCUCAACUUGGGAAUUGCAAUGGAUACUGGCAGGCUGGAGUAUGGGAGAGGAAGGUGGAAUUCCCGGUGUAGCGGUGAAAUGCGUAGAUAUCGGGAGGAACAUCAGUGGCGAAGGCGGCCCUCUGGUCCAGUACUGACACUCAAGUGCGAAAGCGUGGGGAGCAAACAGG
rnacentral:rRNA from 1 species